GACACGGAGAGGCCAAUGGGAUCUGUGCGGCCAUUUUUAGAGGGCUCGUUGAAGCAACCGUGCUCAAAGCAUUGGCAGCAUUCAGUCUGAAGCAGUCAGUCGGUUCGGAGGAUUCGCUUAGAGACUUCUUCUUCUUCUUCUUCUUCUUCUUCACUUCUCUUUGAUCGUUGCAACUCGCGGCCCAGAGAAUCCUCGACCUCUUAAAGGACCACCAGCUCGAGGUCCAACAUGGAGGACCGGCCGGGAGCACCCUUGUCCGCGAACAAAUCGAAUAGCAAGUGCGAGAUAUGCAACCCGGGAAAAAAGUGUGCUCUCUUUCACUGGUGUCGCGAUCAUUUUUCUUUUUACACUUGUGAUACGUGUCUCGACGCUAAUCACCCAUGUGAUUAGUUCAGACGAUGGAAGGGGAUGAAAAAUUGUGAAAAGGAGAGGGAGAGGCAGAAAGGAAGGAGAUCCUCUGGUUGAACGUUGAAGUCAAAAAUAGGAUGAACGCAUGGUCACCAGUGUAUUUCCAUAAAUGAGUUCUCCGGUUACAGGGUCUAUUUCCGGGCCUGAGCCGGCGACCGGAGUUACAGCCAAUUACAAUCGACUCCAGGAUGGUACACGAUGCCUUGGGUAUUAGGGAUCUAGGGAUCGAUCGCUAUGUAACGAUGUAAUUGCGAGUAAAACGAGCUGAUUCACAUGUAUUACGGCUGUUAAGGAAGAUCGUGGAGAUUGUGAUUACGUAGAAAUGUUUAGAGAGUGACGUCAAUGAGCAUCAGUGACGUAAUUCAAGUAUACUUCAAACAGUUUCGAACAGAUCAGAAGUAUGUAUAUCUAAAAAAAGAAGCUAUACUUGUGAAUAGACUUAGACGAGAAGGAUUCGAUUGGUACUUUGAGAAACGUGAAAAGUUGGAGGCAGACCAAAUCUGGCCUCCCUAGAAAAAAUAGAGAUAUCUCAGAAUCUUAAUUUUGAUAAUAUUAAUAUUAUAAGUGCUUUAUAAACAAAAUCAAAUGAAGUAUUGUAUAUAACUCAAAAGUACCUACGAAUAACAGUUAAAAUAUUAAUUCAACUCUUCCCGCGUAAACGUUUAUACGCAAGUGGUGGGAGGCUACAGACCUAUAUGUAGGAGGCCCCCUUCGUUACAAUGUAAUUUUCCUGAAUGAUGGCUACGGUGGGGGGGGGAUCAGGAUAUUAUUUUAAUUUAUAUAAUUAUAUUAUAUUAUAUUAUUCACUAUUUUAGAUAUGAAAUUAAGUCAAUAACCUUUUGAAGGCAGUGUGUUAAAUUAAACGCAUUAAUGGAUUUAAUAAUCUUUAUGGAAGAAUAUUUAAUUUUCCACAGUAUGUAAAUAGAAAUGUGAGUGACAAAAAUGAAGGAAGCAUGAUACAGUUUAAAAUAACUAAAUGUUAUUAAUAUUAGAGUAAGCAAACCCAUCAUACUGAUCGAUUUUAAGUUAUAAGAAUUAUUAAGACGCUUUUACUGAAAUAGAUGUUAAUUUCUGUUAAGAUAAAGUAUAAUUUUUAAUUUUUCGAAUAUAUUCUACUUUAAAAUUAGAUACAUGCUGCUUGUUAUAUUGUUAAUUAUUAAUGUGAAAGUAUUUUAAUAAGUGUUUGUUGAAUAAUAACGUGGUCGUAUUAUAAAACAAUGAUGUAGUAGAUAUUUAUACUUUUUCAAAGAUGAAGACAAUAUUUGUUAAUAUUUUACGGGUCCAUUUUUAAGAACAUAAAUUAUUAAAUUACUGUGCACAUUUGUUAUUCGAGUUAAUUAUGUACACCACGAUUUCAAAAAUGUUUGUAAAGAAAAGAAAAAUUGAAAUUUUAUACAUGAAACACAAAAACAUGAAAUUAUUUGUCUGUUUAUGUCAGAAAAUUUGUAUUCUGACUUCAAUUUCACUUAUUUAUUAUAAUACUCUAUUCUGAAAAUAGACCAAUUUUUGCAAUGUCAUUUAAAAAGAUAUUAUUCCUUUUCAUUGAGUAUUUACUUUUUUGUAAUUGAACUAUGUAAUAUUACAUUUAUUAAUAAUUCAUUAAAUUAUGAUAUUACAUACAAUCAUCAUUUUUAAUCAUCAUUAUAUCUCUGUAUUAUUAAUCCAUUACAGGAAUAUUUUGUAAACGUGUGAAGGAUUAUUAUUUAACCACAGAAUUGAUAAUGGUACUGAUGUAAAUUUAAUGGAACAUGAUUUAUUUAUUGUACAUAAAUAAUGAUGAUAAAAGACAUUUAUAAUCAUA